rnacentral:tRNA from 1 species
CGGAAGUAGUUCAGUGGUAGAACACCACCUUGCCAAGGUGGGGGUCGCGGGUUCGAAUCCCGUCUUCCGCUCCAU